rnacentral:rRNA from 1 species
UACGUAGGGGGCUAGCGUUGUCCGGAAUCAUUGGGCGUAAAGCGCGUGUAGGCGGCCCGAUAAGUCCGCUGUGAAAGUCCAGGGCUCAACCCUGGGAUGCCGGUGGAUACUGUCGGGCUCGAGUCCGGAAGAGGCGAGUGGAAUUCCUGGUGUAGCGGUGAAAUGCGCAGAUAUCAGGAGGAACACCAAUGGCGAAGGCAGCUCGCUGGGACGUGACUGACGCUGAGACGCGCAAGCGUGGGGAGCAAACAGG